rnacentral:rRNA from 1 species
CCAGAAAGUCACGGCUAACUACGUGCCAGCAGCCGCGGUAAUACGUAGGUGGCAAGCGUUAUCCGGAUUUAUUGGGCGUAAAGCGAGCGCAGGCGGUUGCUUAGGUCUGAUGUGAAAGCCUUCGGCUUAACCGAAGAAGUGCAUCGGAAACCGGGCAACUUGAGUGCAGAAGAGGACAGUGGAACUCCAUGUGUAGCGGUGGAAUGCGUAGAUAUAUGGAAGAACACCAGUGGCGAAGGCGGCUGUCUGGUCUGCAACUGACGCUGAGGCUCGAAAGCAUGGGUAGCGAACAGGAUUAGAUACCCUGGUAGUCCAUGCCGUAAACGAUGAGUGCUAGGUGUUGGAGGGUUUCCGCCCUUCAGUGCCGGAGCUAACGCAUUAAGCACUCCGCCUGGGGAGUACGACCGCAAGGUUGAAACUCAAAGGAAUUGACGGGGGCCCGCACAAGCGGUGGAGCAUGUGGUUUAAUUCGAAGCUACGCGAAGAACCUUACCAGGUCUUGACAUCUUGCGCUAACCUUAGAGAUAAGGCGUUCCCUUCGGGGACGCAAUGACAGGUGGUGCAUGGUCGUCGUCAGCUCGUGUCGUGAGAUGUUGGGUUAAGUCCCGCAACGAGCGCAACCCUUGUUACUAGUUGCCAGCAUUAAGUUGGGCACUCUAGUGAGACUGCCGGUGAUAAACCGGAGGAAGGUGGGGACGACGUCAGAUCAUCAUGCCCCUUAUGACCUGGGCUACACACGUGCUACAAUGGACGGUACAACGAGUCGCAAGCUCGCGAGAGUAAGCUAAUCUCUUAAAGCCGUUCUCAGUUCGGACUGUAGGCUGCAACUCGCCUACACGAAGUCGGAAUCGCUAGUAAUCGCGGAUCAGCAUGCCGCGGUGAAUACGUUCCCGGGCCUUGUACACACCGCCCGUCACACCAUGGGAGUUUGUAACGCCCAAAGUCGGUGGCCUAACCUUUAUGGAGGGAGCCGCCUAAGGCGGGACAGAUGACUGGGGUGAAGUCGUAACAAGGUAGCCGUAGGAGAACCUGCGGCUG